AGUCAUUGGGAAUCACAAAACCUAAAGGCGUAAUGAAAGUGAAGGUUCGCUUAUGCGGACUGAGGGAUGAUGGUACGGUGCAAACUCGCAAUCCCGGGGCGUCUCACUCUCUUUGAGAAGAGGCGCACCCAGAGCGUACACGCUGGGACCCGAAAGAUGGUGAACUAUGCCUGGUCAGGUCGAAGUCAGGGGAAACCCUGAUGGAGGACCGUAGCGAUUCUGACGUGCAAAUCGAUCGUCGGAACUGGGUA
rnacentral:rRNA from 1 species